CGCUAUCACUCCGUACGGGAGGCAGCAGGUGGGGAAUAUUGCACAAUGGGCGCAAGCCUGAUGCAGCCAUGCCGCGUGUGUGAAGAAGGCCUUCGGGUUGUAAAGCACUUUCAGUCGUGAGGAAGGUAGUGUAGUUAAUAGCUGCAUUAUUUGACGUUAGCGACAGAAGAAGCACCGGCUAACUCCGUGCCAGCAGCCGCGGUAAUACGGAGGGUGCGAGCGUUAAUCGGAAUUACUGGGCGUAAAGCGCAUGCAGGUGGUUUUGUUAAGUCAGAUGUGAAAGCCCCGGGGCUCAACCUCGGAAUUGCAUUUUGAAAACUGGCAGACUAGAGUACUGUAGAGGGGGUAGAAUUUCAGGUGUAGCGGUGAAAAUGCGUAGAGAUCUGAAGGAAUACCGGUGGCGAAGGCGGCCCCCUGGACAGAUACUGACACUCAGAUGCGAAAGCGUGGGGAGCAAACAGGAUUAGAUACCCUGGUAG
rnacentral:rRNA from 1 species